CUUACUCUGAAGGUAUGCUUCUCCCUCCACCUUGAUAAAUUAUAAAUAUAUAAUAAUUGAUUUUGCUUUCUUACUAUAAACAAAAUGCAAAUAUUCUAUCAAUAUAAGCGUGUAUAUAAUAAAAAAAAUAUUGUUAGUGUGUCAAUAUAUAUGGAUGCUAAAAUGUACAUGCGAUUGUUUCUUUUUCUGUUUCUAGUUAUUGAAUAUGAUUGAAGUUGUGUACAUGGAAAGCCCAUCAUGAAUUCCAAAAUAAGUCAAAAUAGUUAAUUAAGAAGCGUAAAUACUUCAAUUUUCUAAAGAAAAACAGCAGAUUCAAAAUUCCAAAAUAAUUUGUGAAUUAGGAUUGAUUGUAGAGCUCACAUUAUUUGGUGAAGUUGUACAAGUUAGACUUUAAAAUCUUUAUACUAAUACUUGAAGUUCAAACAAACAAUAUGAAUAUGUUCAAAUGAUGAAUCAUUUUACAUACAUGAGAAUUUUAGAAUUAUUUAUUUCAAAAUGUCAAUUAUUAUGCUCUUCAUUCAUCAUUCCAUCUAACCUAUGAGUAAUACUAACUUAACUCAUUACAACCUAGUAUUUAAAAUGAUAUUGAUCAAGUGUAAUGAGGGUGGUUUCAACAAGACUCCAUUUUUCUCUCAAGCAUCUACAAAAAGUGUUUCUGCCUUCACUUUCGAGUGUGAGGAUCUAUGGAUGUCCAGAAUUAAUUAAAAAAAAAAAAAAGAAUAGUAAAAGAGGCGACUACUGGCCCCUGAUCUCUCAUAUCCCAUGGAAAUUACAAGUUUAAUAUGAAGAAGAGGCUUAUUGUAAAGUGAGAUGCAUGUAAGGAACAUGGACAAUUCUCUUCUUCAGUCGAUGGUCAUAGUCACACCAAGGGAGUGGGCCAAAAGCUUGCAACCAGCAUAGUGAUGUGCUUCUACAAGAGUAUAAUGAUGAUGAGGAAUCAGGAGACGAUGAGUAGUUUCUUUAAUGAUUGUUUUUUCUGAAUAAUUUGUUUCUUUCAAUGAAUUGUUUUUUUUCCAAAUGAUUUGUUUUUAGUUAGAUUUUAAAUGAUUGCUAUAUUGAAUAAUUGCUCUGUAUUUAGACUAUGGUAUUAAAAUUGAUGUAUUUCUUGAAA